rnacentral:tRNA from 1 species
AGCUUCGAGGUGUUGUACAUAUCAAAUUGCAAAUUUGAAGUAGCAGAUUAGACUCUGCCGGGGCUU